rnacentral:rRNA from 1 species
GACGAACGCUGGCGGCGUGCCUAAUACAUGCAAGUCGAACGAAACUUUCUUACACCGAAUGCUUGCAUUCACCGUAAGAAGUUGAGUGGCGGACGGGUGAGUAACACGUGGGUAACCUGCCUAAAAGAAGGGGAUAACACUUGGAAACAGGUGCUAAUACCGUAUAUCUCUAAGGAUCGCAUGAUCCUUAGAUGAAAGAUGGUUCUGCUAUCGCUUUUAGAUGGACCCGCGGCGUCUUAACUAGUUGGUGGGGUAACGGCCUACCAAGGUGAUGGUACGGAGCCGAACUGAGAGGUUGAUCGGCAACAUUGGGACUGAGACACGGCCCAAACUCCUACGGGAGGCAGCAGUAGGGAAUCUUCCACAAGGGACGCAAGUCUGAUGGAGCAACGCCGCGUGAGUGAAGAAGGUCUUCGGAUCGUAAAACUCUGUUGUUAGAGAAGAACACGAGUGAGAGUAACUGUUCAUUCGAUGACGGUAUCUAACCAGCAAGUCACGGCUAACUACGUGCCAGCCGCCGCAGUAA